UACGUAGGGUGCGAGCGUUCAUCGGAAUUACUGGGCGUAAAGUGUGCGCAGGCGGCCGCGCAAGUCGAGUGUGAAAUCCCCGAGCUUAACUUGGGAAUUGCGCUCGAAACUACGUGGCUGGAGUGUGGCAGAGGAAGGUGGAAUUCCACGUGUAGCGGUGAAAUGCGUAGAGAUGUGGAGGAACACCGAUGGCGAAGGCAGCCUUCUGGGCCAACACUGACGCUCAUGCACGAAAGCGUGGGGAGCAAACAGG
rnacentral:rRNA from 1 species